rnacentral:rRNA from 1 species
AGAGUUUGAUCCUGGCUCAGGAUGAACGCUGGCGGCGUGCUUAACACAUGCAAGUCGAACGGUGAAGCCAAGCUUGCUUGGUGGAUCAGUGGCGAACGGGUGAGUAACACGUGAGCAACCUGCCCUGGACUCUGGGAUAAGCGCUGGAAACGGCGUCUAAUACUGGAUAUGAGCUCUCAUCGCAUGGUGGGGGUUGGAAAGAUUUUUUGGUCUGGGAUGGGCUCGCGGCCUAUCAGCUUGUUGGUGAGGUAAUGGCUCACCAAGGCGUCGACGGGUAGCCGGCCUGAGAGGGUGACCGGCCACACUGGGACUGAGACACGGCCCAGACUCCUACGGGAGGCAGCAGUGGGGAAUAUUGCACAAUGGGCGGAAGCCUGAUGCAGCAACGCCGCGUGAGGGAUGACGGCCUUCGGGUUGUAAACCUCUUUUAGCAGGGAAGAAGCGAGAGUGACGGUACCUGCAGAAAAAGCGCCGGCUAACUACGUGCCAGCAGCCGCGGUAAUACGUAGGGCGCAAGCGUUAUCCGGAAUUAUUGGGCGUAAAGAGCUCGUAGGCGGUUUGUCGCGUCUGCUGUGAAAUCCCGAGGCUCAACCUCGGGCCUGCAGUGGGUACGGGCAGACUAGAGUGCGGUAGGGGAGAUUGGAAUUCCUGGUGUAGCGGUGGAAUGCGCAGAUAUCAGGAGGAACACCGAUGGCGAAGGCAGAUCUCUGGGCCGUUACUGACGCUGAGGAGCGAAAGGGUGGGGAGCAAACAGGCUUAGAUACCCUGGUAGUCCACCCCGUAAACGUUGGGAACUAGUUGUGGGGUCCAUUCCACGGAUUCCGUGACGCAGCUAACGCAUUAAGUUCCCCGCCUGGGGAGUACGGCCGCAAGGCUAAAACUCAAAGGAAUUGACGGGGACCCGCACAAGCGGCGGAGCAUGCGGAUUAAUUCGAUGCAACGCGAAGAACCUUACCAAGGCUUGACAUACAC